rnacentral:rRNA from 1 species
GGGUGGUUAUAGCAAUGUGGAUCCACCUCUUUACCAUUCCGAACAGAGAAGUUAAACACAUUAGCGCUGAUGGUACUGGUUUUUUCUGGGAGAGUAAGUCUCCGCCCU